UACGGAGGGGGCUAGCGUUGUUCGGAAUUACUGGGCGUAAAGCGCGCGUAGGCGGACCUGCAAGUCGGACGUGAAAUCCCUCGGCUCAACCGAGGAACUGCGUCCGAUACUGGCAGGCUGGAAUCCGGGAGAGGGAUGUGGAAUUCCAGGUGUAGCGGUGAAAUGCGUAGAUAUCUGGAGGAACACCGGUGGCGAAGGCGGCAUCCUGGACCGGUAUUGACGCUGAGGCGCGAAAGCUAGGGGAGCAAACGGG
rnacentral:rRNA from 1 species